UCUGGCGGCAGUAGCGCGGUGGUCCCACCUGACCCCAUGCCGAACUCAGAAGUGAAACGCCGUAGCGCCGAUGGUAGUGUGGGGUCUCCCCAUGCGAGAGUAGGGAA
rnacentral:rRNA from 3 species